rnacentral:rRNA from 1 species
GAACGCUGGCGGCGUGCUUAACACAUGCAAGUCGAACGGAAAGGCCUCUUCGGAGGUACUCGAGUGGCGAACGGGUGAGUAACACGUGGGUAAUCUGCCCUGCACUUCGGGAUAAGCCUGGGAAACUGGGUCUAAUACCGGAUAGGACCUUUUGGCGCAUGCCUUUUGGUGGAAAGCUUUUGCGGUGUGGGAUGGGCCCGCGGCCUAUCAGCUUGUUGGUGGGGUGACGGCCUACCAAGGCGACGACGGGUAGCCGGCCUGAGAGGGUGUCCGGCCACACUGGGACUGAGAUACGGCCCAGACUCCUACGGGAGGCAGCAGUGGGGAAUAUUGCACAAUGGGCGCAAGCCUGAUGCAGCGACGCCGCGUGGGGGAUGACGGCCUUCGGGUUGUAAACCUCUUUCAGCAGGGACGAAGCGCAAGUGACGGUACCUGCAGAAGAAGCACCGGCCAACUACGUGCCAGCAGCCGCGGUAAUACGUAGGGUGCGAGCGUUGUCCGGAAUUACUGGGCGUAAAGAGCUCGUAGGU